rnacentral:rRNA from 1 species
UACAGAGGUGGCAAGCGUUGUUCGGAAUUACUGGGCGUAAAGCGUGCGCAGGCGGCGCGUUAAGACAGGUGUGAAAGCCCCGAGCUUAACUUGGGAAUUGCGCUUGUGACUGGCGAGCUGGAGUGUGGCAGAGGGAGGUGGAAUUCCACGUGUAGCAGUGAAAUGCGUAGAGAUGUGGAGGAACACCGAUGGCGAAGGCAGCCUCCUGGGCCAGCACUGACGCUCAUGCACGAAAGCGUGGGGAGCAAACAGG